rnacentral:rRNA from 1 species
AUUGAACGCUGGCGGCAUGCCUAACACAUGCAAGUCGCACGCGAAAGGGGGCAACCCCGAGUAGAGUGGCGGACGGGUGCGUAAUACGUAGGAAUCUACCUGAUAGUGGGGGACAACCCGGCGAAAGCCGGGCUAAUACCGCAUACGACCUAUGGGUGAAAGCCGGGGACCGCAAGGCCUGGCGCUAUUAGAUGAGCCUGCGUCGGAUUAGCUAGUUGGUGAGGUAAAGGCUACCAAGGCGACGAUCCGUAGCUGGUCUGAGAGGACGACCAGCCACACUGGGACUGAGACACGGCCCAGACUCCUACGGGAGGCAGCAGUGGGGAAUAUUGGACAAUGGGGGCAACCCUGAUCCAGCAAUG